AGACAGUGGCGGGGGUCAGGAAACACCCCAUUUCUGUCUGAACUGUCUACAGAGGGUCUGGUGCUGCCCCACCUCUAGCUCUAAAGGAAUCACAGCCAGGCUCCUGGGAGGGCAGUUCCGCUCCUGUGUGGCUGCAGACGACAAAACUCAUGAGAAGAACGACCCAGACUCUGAGUGUCCACACCCUGUGUGUCUCUGUCCUGCCAGCACCGAGGCCACAUCCAUCCACAGAGCAGGGCAGUGAGGAGACACCAUGACUCCCAUCCUCACGGUCCUGAUCUGUCUCGGGCUGAGUCUGGGCCUCAGGACCCACGUGCAGGCAGGACUCCUUCUCAAGCCCACUCUGGGCUGAGCGCCAGGGUCUGUGAUCAGCGAGGGGGAGUCCUGCACCCUCAGGUGUCAGGGGAGCCUUCAGGUUCCGGAGUAUCAUCUAUAUAGAGAAAAAAACUCAGCAUCCUGGGUUAGACGGAUACGACAAGAACUCUGUCAAGAAGGGCUAUUUCCAUUGCAUCCAUCACCCUCGAACACGCGGGGCGGUAUCGCUGGGUCAGUAUUAAGGUGCCGCAAUCACUCAUCAGAGCUCAGUGACCCCUGGAGCUGGUGGUGACAGGAGCCUACAGCAAACCCACCCUCUCAGCCCUGCCCAGCCCUGUGGUGGCCUCAGGAGGAAGCGUGACCCUGCAGUGUGACUCACAGGUGGCAUUUGAUGGCUUGCUCUGUGUGUAAGAAAGGAGAAGAUGAGCACCCACAACAUCCUUCAACUGCCAGUCCCAUGCCCAUGGGUCAUCCCUGGCCGUCUCCGUGGCCCCGUGAGCCCGAGUCGCAGGUGGUCGUACUGCAUAUGGUUAUGACUCCGGCCUCCUGAAUGUAUCUUACCCAGUGAUCUCCCUGGAGCUCCUGGUCCCAGGCGUUUCUAAGAAGCCACCAGUGCAGCCGGGUCCUGUCGUGGCUCCUCGGGGAUGUUGACCCUGCAGUGUGGCUCUGAUGUCAAGCAGACAGAUUUGCUCUGUACAAGGAGGGAGAGAUGACGAUUCCCCAGCGCCCUGGUCGGCAGCGCCAGGCUGGGCCUCCCAGGCCAACUCUUCCUGGGCCCCCUGUGAGGCGCCCACAGGGGCCAGUACAGAUGCUACGGUGCACACAACCUCUCCUCCGAGUGGUCGGCCCCCAGUGACCCCCUGGACAUCCUGAUCUCAAGACAGAUCCGUGGCAGACCCUCUCAGUGCAGCCAGCCUCAAGGUGGUCUCAGGAGAGAACGUGACCCUGCUCUGUCAGUCCUCGUGGGAGUUCCACGCUUCUUCUGACUCCAGGCGGAGCAGCUGAUGCCCACCUCCAUCUAAGAUCAAUGCACAAAUAUCCUAAGUACCAGGCUGAAUUUCCCAUGAGUCCUGUGACCUCAGCCCACGCGGGGAUCUACAGGUGCUACGGCUCACACAGCUCCAUUCCCUACCUGCUGUCUGUGCCCAGUGACCCCCUGGAGCUCGUGGUCUCAGGAGCAGCUGAGACCUUCAGCCCACCACAAACCAAGUCCGACUCCAAGGCCGGAGCAGCUGACACCCUUGCUUCAUCACAAAACAAUUCUGACCCCAAGACUGCCUCACACUCCCAGGAUUACACAGUGGAGAAUCUCAUCCGCAUGGGCAUGGCUGGCUUAAUCCUGGUGGUCCUUGGGAUUCUGCUAUUUGAGCCUCAGUACAGCCAGAGAAGCCUCCAAGAUGCAGCCAGGAGGGGAACAGGAGAGAGAAGAAUGCAUCCUUCAGAGUGUUGGGCCCUUAGAAAUAGAUCUGAUGAUCCCAGGAGGUUCCAGGAGACAAUUUAGGGCCAAUGCUAUCUGGACUGUCUGCCGAUCAUUUCCAGAAGGAGGAAUCAGUGUUGGAUUGCAGAGACAUUUUCCAGGGUGAUCCAUGGAGGACCAUUAACAUGUGAUACCUUUCCUCUCUAUUAAUGUUGACUUCCCUUGGUUGGAUCCCCUUCUUUUCCCACCCCCAGACAUGAGGCUACACCCCACACAGCAGCGUUGGGUCCACAGCUCUGCACACCUGCAUGCUCUGGUCCAUGGCGUGUAACACAGUCUUCUUUGUUCCUCAUUGCCACACUCCCUGGUGUGCUUUACUGAGCCUCCAUCUCUUCAGUUCAGAGUUCCAAACACGCUUCAGUAACUAAAUCAGUGGGGGAAAUACUGGAUUUCCACCAGGAAAAGAUAAAUCCACCCUGAUGCCCUGACACCCUCUCUGAACCCUGUGAGCCCUUCCCUCCUUCUCAGAUGCUGCCUGUGCAGCUUCUCCUCAGAUCAUUGUGUCACCAUCACUGCCAUCCUGUUCCACACAUUGUCAUCACCCUACACGGAGUCAGCAGCCGCUCCCCAUUCCUUCUUCCCUCCAGCACCUGCUAACCACGAGUGUGCUUUCUGUCUCUACGGCUUUGCCUGUUCUUGCUGAAAACAUUUCAAUCUGCCUAUGAUCUGUGAGCUCCUCACUUCGAGACUUCCUGCCUUUCCAGGCAGAACCAAAGUACCCCAUGUCAAAAGCAGUGAUAGGCGUUUGCAGUGCGUUGGUGAUCCACGAAAGGAAAAUCACAGAAGUAGGAUAGAAAUCCAGCUGCAGACAAGACCUCAGGUCAACAAAUCUUGUCAAGCAGUUGAACUGUUUCUUUCUACUCACCUAGGACAGUCAGACAGAAGUAUGCAAAAGGACUGGGGCUGAUUCUUUUCUGAAUUGUCCCAAAACAGCAAGAGGACUUGAGUCCUAGCACUAAAGAGUUCAACAUGUCUGGGUCAAAGACCGCUGUUGUGUUGGAAGGAUGUAAAACCCUGCUGCACAGGAUAGAAUGUUUGGAGGGAGGAUCCUGAGAAACACGAGGGAUCAAAUAGUCCUGAACUUUCUAGGACAAAGGGAGCAGCCAUUUGCCAUCUACCGUGUAAAAUAAAGAAAUCUUAUCAUUCACCCU